rnacentral:lncRNA from 1 species
GAAGAAUAUAGCAGUACAAUAGAGGUCUUAGAAUGUGAGGGUGGGUUCUAAUCUGUCACAGCAUUGUGUGACCAUAUCACCCACAAUGACUCUGGGCCUUGCUUAUCUGAUGUGUACUAUGAAUGGCUUGCCUAGUAUUGUUGAUUUUCAAGCCAGCUCUGGCCACACAGAGAUGCUUGGGGAAGAAGAAGAGAGGGGGAGCUCUGUGCCCAUCUCCUGGCUUCUGCAGAAGAAUCUUUCUUUAUCGGGGCCCCCAUACGCUUUCAUUUGAAAGAAAGUUUUGUACUUACAAGGGAAAAUUGAAAACCCCAGAACUAGGAGAGAAGUAAGCAAUCCCAGAUCUAACAUUCUGGAACUGAGGCUCUAGCAGUCUAGCAUAUGACAAGCUGGCAUUGCACUCUGCUCUGUAAAGGUGUCCCUUCUGUAAAGGUUGACUCACUCACAGGAUGGUAAUGAAUUCUUGUCAGGGAGAAUGGCGCCAGGAUCCAGCUCAUAACCAAGUAGGCUGAACAACACUGAUUUUACAAAGGGCAUGUCAACUUGUCACAAAGUGCCAUAUGGUUGAUUAUUUCUAAUAAAAUGAGCUCACAUUGGAUUGCCAAUCUGUGUGUGUCUCCACUGUCCCAGAAAAGACAACCUAAAUUGAUUGAAGGCUGCAAGUCUUCAGAAACUACAUUGUGGAUAUGGUCAUUGAACUCAGCUGUCACUACCCUUAAGCCAAUGCGGCCAGCAGAGAUGUGCAUGUUGAUGGGGUGUGCCUCUAGGCUGGCUCUCUACAGGAAAUGUAAGAUGACACAUGUGGCUCAUAUUAAAAUUCUGUUGGAUGGCCCUGGACUAGAAAGAAUCAGAUAUGCAAGAGGCCCAAAUGGACCCUUUCAGCAGAUUCAGCAAUGUUCACCAAGCAACUCUGUGUGCCUAGAGCUGGGAUAG